rnacentral:rRNA from 1 species
GACGAACGCUGGCGGCGUGCUUAACACAUGUAAGUCGAACGAAGAGCGAUGGAAGCUUGCCUCUAUCAAUCUUAGUGGCGAACGGGUGAGCAACGCGUAAUCAACCUGCCCUUCAGAGGGGGACAACAGUUGGAAACGACUGCUAAUACCGCAUACGAUCUAACCUCGGCAUCGAGGAUAGAUGAGAGGUGGCCUCUAUUUAUAAGCUAUCACUGAAGGAGGGGAUUGCGUCUGAUUAGCUAGUUGGAGGGGUAACGGCCCACCAAGGCGAUGAUCAGUAGCCGGUCUGAGAGGAUGAACGGCCACAUUGGGACUGAGACACGGCCCAGACUCCUACGGGAGGCAGCAGUGGGGAAUCUUCCGCAAUGGACGAAAGUCUGACGGAGCAACGCCGCGUGAGUGAUGACGGCCUUCGGGUUGUAAAGCUCUGUUAAUCGGGACGAAAGGCCUUCUUGCGAAUAGUUAGAAGGAUUGACGGUACCGGAAUAGAAAGCCACGGCUAACUACGUGCCAGCAGCCGCGGUAAUACGUAGGUGGCAAGCGUUGUCCGGAAUUAUUGGGCGUAAAGCGCGCGCAGGCGGAUUGGUCAGUCUGUCUUAAAAGUUCGGGGCUUAACCCCGUGAAUGGGAUGGAA